rnacentral:rRNA from 1 species
AUUGAACGCUGGCGGCUGGCCUAACACAUGCAAGUCGAACGAGUGGCGGACGGGUGAGUAAUGUCUGGGAAACUGCAUGAUGACGGGGGAUAACUACUGGAAACGGUAGCUAAUACUGCAAACCAUCGGAUGUGCCCAGAUGGGAUUAGCUAGUAGGUGGGGUAAAGGCUCGCCGAGGCGACGUUGCCUAGCUGGGCUGAGAGGGUGACCAGCCACACUAGAGCUGAGCCGCGGUCCGGACUCCUGCUGGAGGCAGGAAUGGGGAAUAGUGCACAAUGGGCUCAAGCCUGAUGCAGCCAUGGCGCGUGUAGGAGGAAGGCCUUCGGGUUGUAGAGUACUUUCAGCGGGGAGGCGUUACCCGCAGAAGAAGCACCGGCUAACUCCGUGCCAGCCGCCGCGGUAAUAC